rnacentral:tRNA from 6 species
GCGGAUGUAGCUCAGUCAGGCAGAGCGCAUGGUUUUCCGUGAGGUCGGCGGUUCGAGUCCGCCCGUCCGCACCA